ensembl:lncRNA
CACAAGGUGAGUUGCAGACCACGUGGGCCCGACACUGAGAAUACUAAGAGGAAGUACACCUUCAAGUACCAUGUGCAACAAGGAGGCCAAAGACUUGCUGUUUGUAAGCUCACAUUUAUGUCAGUCUUUCAACUGACCAACAGUCGCCUACAGGCCUCAUAGCAUUCAUCCUGCAGUGAGAGAGGGGAUAAGAGAGCACAUCCUGAGCUUCCCACGCCAACCGAACCACUACUCACGGAUGAAGGGAGAUGUGGAGAGGGAGUACCUGAGCCCUGAUUUAAACCUGCUCCGCAUGUUCCGCCUGUACAAGGAAAACAAUCCAGCAUCCACUGCAAAGUUCUGGCUCUAUAGGGACAUCUUCAAGCAGCAAAACCUCAGAUUUGGGCAGCCAAGAAGUGAUACUUGUGCAAAAUGUGACGCCCUGUUCUCAAAAUUAGUAGCUGCUACAACAGAUGGAGAAAGGUUGAAGAUCACAGCCGAGAGUGAGCUUCACCACCGGAAAGCCGAAAAAGCGUACACCCAGUUGCAGGCUGACACAGAGUGGGCCAAAGCCAAUGAUGACUGCCAUGUCAUUUGUAUCGACAUGCAGUGGGUAGUGUUCACGCCAAACCUGACACACUCCAACGUGUACUAUCAACGGCAGCUGGCCAACUACAACCUCUGUAUCCAGGAGAUGGGCACUGACAAACCUCCUACAAUGUGCCUCUGGCAUGAGGGCAUCGCUCACAGAGGUUCCAUCGAGGUGGCAAGCUGUCUUUUGAAGUGGGCAGAAACAUCUUUCGCUCCCCUAGUCCAGGCAAAGGAACGGAAGCUCAUCAUCUAUAGUGACCGAUGCUGUGGGCAGAACAACAACUGGCGAGUCCUAAACCUCAUGGCCCUACUCGUAUCUAGAGGGUACUUCAGUCAGAUAGAGCAGAAGUUCAUGGUGUCUGGUCACUCCUUCCUUCCCUGUAACCGUUCAUUUGCCACGCUGGACAAGAGGCAUAAGGUGUCCACACUCCACACCCCCAGCGAUGUCGCCGAGAUGAUCCGUGGAACCAGGCAGCUGCAUCCAUUUAAAGUAAUUGAGAUGAAAUGUACGGACUUCAGGCAGCUCCCUGAUGCAACAUUAAAACAUCCACCUGGCUUCUUAAUCACAUCCAUGAUGUGGUUGAAAGUGACAGCUACUGAUCCAUGGUGUGUCCACACAAAAGGGAGCCACAGCCUCUACGAGGGAUGGAAGCAUUGGCUGAUCACCAAACAGAGGAAGAAUCAACCACCUCCAGCUCCCUUGUUCUCCACCACGUAUGCUCGUGCUUACGAGGACCCUCUGCCCAUCAAGAAGGAGAAGCACCGUGACCUUAUGAAAAUGCUAGCCUACAUGCCAGCGGAGGCCCAAGCAUUUUAUGUGAAUGUGAAGAGUAGCCUGGUAUGUGUAGGUCAUGUGCAGGGAAAGGUGGGAUAUAUUGUGUAUAUUGUGUGAAAUUAAUCAUAAAAGUAGUUGUAGCUUAUCUUGUAUGCCUUAUCGUAUGUUGUAUAAUAGGAAUAUAUAGGUAUUUAUUUUAUUUUAUUUAGAACCAAAAAAAGGAAGACGUAUAUGGUAAACUAGCAUAUGGAACCAGCAUGGAAUGAAGAUGAUGUAUGUCUGUAUUGUAAAUAUGUAUUGUUUACCAUUAUUACUGUUGAUUGUUUGUAUGUAUUGUUUAUUGUAAGUAUGUACGGUUUGUUUGUACUGACGUUUAUUUUCUGUACUAUAAGUAGGCCUAUGUAUUGUUCAUUGUUCGUACCGUAUUGUCCGCGUUUUUGUUCUGUGAUUUACGUUGGCAAAAAAUAAAAGAAAUUGAAAGAAAGAAAUGCUUAAUAUU